rnacentral:rRNA from 1 species
GACGAACGCUGGCGGCGUGCUUAACACAUGCAAGUCGAACGAUGAAGCAAAGAAUCGAAGCUUCGGCAGAAAUUCAUUUCGGAUUAGUGGCAGACGGGUGAGUAACGCGUGAGCAACCUACCUCUUACAAAGGGAUAGCCUCGGGAAACCGGGAUUAAUACCAUAUAACAUUGCGACGAAGCAUUUCGAUGCAAUCAAAGCUACGGCGGUAAGAGAUGGGCUCGCGUCCCAUUAACCGGAUGGUGAGGUAACGGCUCACCAUAGUGACGAUGGGUAACCGGCCUGAGAGGGUGAACGGUCACACUGGAACUGAGACACGGUCCAGACUCCUACGGGAGGCAGCAGUGGGGAAUAAUGCACAAUGGAGGGAACUCUGAUGCAGCGACGCCGCGUGAGUGAUGAAGGAAUUCGUUUCGUAAAACUCUGUUCUAUGGGAAGAAAAGGACUGUACCAUAGGAGAAAGCUCCGGCUAAAUACGUG